GUCUAUGUCGCCCUCUGCUGGGUUUUAAAUCGAUUGCAGUUUCAAGAAUUUCUGGAUCAGUGAUGACUUCAUCGGGCUGCACCCGUGGUGGAGCGUCAGCCUUACUGGACUCGCCCCACAGAUUGGAGCCACCAUACAUGCUGGGCCUCCUUUGAUCGUAUUUAGUCACAAGAGUUGGAAAAAACCGACCAGAGUUGUAUUCCUCAUCCUCACCUGCUGUUGAACCUCUGAGGGAAUUUCUCUCUCAUAGAGUGGAACUGAUGAGCAACUGACGCAUCCUGCUCAACAAAAUCAUUUUUUUGUCUUUGCCUCAACGAGAAACUUCAGUUUACAUCUCAUGUUCAAGUACCGUAUUGCAUCCAUACUUCAGAUCAUUUGGUGUCACCUGUAUCCUCCAGCGGUCCAUUUGGAUCAGCUCACUUGCCUCAAUGUCCUUCAGGAUCUCUUUCAGCGCAGACAGCGAGCCAGGUCAUUGCCGGUCCCCAAGGGGAGGAUCGCUACUUGAGGAUUCACCUGGAGGCCAGCUUUAUCUGAAAACACAGCACCAGGGUUGGGUUCAUCCUCCCACAUUCUAUUCCACAUCUAUUAACCAAGUGCUCUGGUACCGAU